GACGAACGCUGGCGGCGUGCUUAACACAUGCAAGUCAAGGGGGCCCAGCAAUGGGCAACCGGCGAACGGGUGCGUAACACGUGAGCAACCUACCGAACUGUGGGGGAUAGCCGGCCUAACGGCCGAGUAAUACCGCAUACGCUUUCAGUGAGGCAUUUCAUUGAAAGGAAACCUACGGGACAGAUCGAGGGGCUCGCGGCCUAUCAGCUUGUUGGUGGGGUGAUGGCCUACCAAGGCGACGACGGGUAGCCGGCCUGAGAGGGCGACCGGCCACACUGGGACUGAGACACGGCCCAGACUCCUACGGGAGGCAGCAGUGGGGAAUCUUGCGCAAUGGGCGAAAGCCUGACGCAGCGACGCCGCGUGAGGGAUGACGGCCU
rnacentral:rRNA from 1 species